rnacentral:rRNA from 1 species
GAGGAAUUUUGCGCAAUGGGAGCAAUCCUGACGCAGCAACGCCGCGUGGGUGAAGAAGGCCUUCGGGUCGUAAAGCCCUGUCAGGUGGGAAGAAGGGUCCUAUCAGGAAAGGGGUGGGAUUUGACGGUACCACCAGAGGAAGCACCGGCUAACUCCGUGCCAGCAGCCGCGGUAAUACGGAGGGUGCGAGCGUUAUUCGGAAUUACUGGGCGUAAAGCGCGUGUAGGCGGGGGAGCAAGUCUGAUGUGAAAGCCCCGGGCUUAACCCGGGAAGUGCAUUGGAAACUGUUUUUCUUGAGUACUGGAGAGGAAGGGGGAAUUCCCGGUGUAGAGGUGAAAUUCGUAGAGAUCGGGAGGAAUACCAGUGGCGAAGGCGCCCUUCCGGACGGUUACUGACGCUGAGACGCGAAAGCGUGGGGAGCAAACAG